UCCAGCCAGGGUAGUACAUGGGAGACCUCUGUGCUCCUGUAAGCUCCCAGCCUCAGGAAGGCCGGCCUCCCAGCACCCCACCCCGCCCUGCCUCAGGUCCCCCGUCGCCUCAGCCCCUCCCAGCCUGCUCCACUCCCUGCCUGGACAAAGCUGCAGGCAUUUCCUCCUUGUCUGUGUGUGCAGAGCACCAGGGAACCUGAUGAAUGAACGAGGCGUCAUGUGGUUACUCCUCUGCAAGGACCUGGGUUCUCUGUCCGCCACCAGGGCUCAGGAGACCAGCUGGAUGGAGAGUAUAAAUGGUGACCCUAUAAGCGACAGAUGGAGAAGGCCAUGUGGAGACAAAGGCAAAGGGGGAAUGGAUGCAGCCACAAACCUAGGGAUUCCUGGAGCCGCCAGAAGCUGGAAGAGGCAAAGAGGGAUUUCUCUGUAGAACCUGAGGAGGCAGUGUGGAUCUUGAUUUGAGACUUCUGGCCUCCAGACCUGUGAGAGAAUAAACUCCUGCUGUUCUAAG